rnacentral:rRNA from 1 species
UACAGAGGUAGCAAGCGUUGUCCGGAUUCACUGGGCGUAAAGGGAUUGUAGGUGGCUUUUUAAGUCAGGUGUGAAAUCGUCCCGCUUAACGGGACAAUUGCAUUUGAUACUGAUUGGCUUGAGUGCAGGAGGGGAAAUCGGAAUUUCCGGUGUAGCGGUGAAAUGCGUAGAUAUCGGAAAGAACACCGGUGGCGAAGGCGGAUUUCUGGCCUGCAACUGACACUGAGGAUCGAAAGCCAGGGGAG